GUGGGUACGGCUGAGGCUCUGGGUCCACCUCCCACCCGUGUUUAUCGUACCUUGUUGCUUCGGCGGGCCCGCCGCAAGGCCGCCGGGGGGCAUCUGCCCUCUGGCCCGCGCCCGCCGAAGACACCAUUGAACGCUGUCUGAAGAUUGCAGUCUGAGCAAUUAGUUAAAUAACUUAAAACUUUCAACAACGGAUCUCUUGGUUCCGGCAUCGAUGAAGAACGCAGCGAAAUGCGAUACGUAAUGUGAAUUGCAGAAUUCAGUGAAUCAUCGAGUCUUUGAACGCACAUUGCGCCCCCUGGUAUUCCGGGGGGCAUGCCUGUCCGAGCGUCAUUGCUGCCCUCAAGCACGGCUUGUGUGUUGGGCUCCGUCCUCCUUCCGGGGGACGGGCCCGAAAGGCAGCGGCGGCACCGCGUCCGGUCCUCGAGCGUAUGGGGCUUCGUCACCCGCUCUGCAGGCCCGGCCGGCGCUUGCCGACACAUCAAUCUUUUUUCCAGGUUGACCUCGGAUCAGGUAGGGAUACCCGCUGAACUUAAGCAUAUCAACACGCGGAGAAGG
rnacentral:rRNA from 1 species